CCUUUCGCGACGGCCACGGCCUUUGCGGCUGGGAGACAAGCGUUGACAGUGCUGGGCAGGCCGGCUCGGGUCGCGGCCGCGGCGAGUUACAUCGUUUGCCAAUCUGUCCGCGGACGCCGCUGCCGGAGACAGAGCCAGGAUGUUCGGGAUGCUGAGCAGCAGCUUUGAGGAUGAUCCCUUCUUCUCUGAUUCUUUUAUCGCACACCGAGAAAGUAUGCGACAGAUGAUGAGAAGUUUUUCUGAACCUUUUGGAAGAGACAUGCUCAGCAUCUCUGAUAGGAGAGGAAGAGCUCGUAACCGUAUGGGACAUGAGGAUGAAGAAAAUUCCUUGACUGCAAUGAGUUCUCUUGUGCCUUUUGGCAGUUUUGGUGGUAUGCAUACAGAUGUCAGCCCUUUUCAGGCAAUGGACCGAAUGAUGUUAAAUAUGCGAAACAGUAUGCAGGAAUUACAAAGAAACUUUGGUCACCUUUCAAUGGAUCCAAACGGACAUUCAUUUAGUUCCUCCUCCGUGAUGACUUAUUCCAAAGUAGGAGAUGAACCGCCAAAGGUUUUCCAGGCCUCAACACAAACCCGUAGGGCUCCAGGAGGAAUAAAGGAAACCAGGAAGGCACUAAGAGACUCUGACAGUGGGCUAGAAAAGAUGGCUGUUGGCCAUCACCUCCAUGACCGAGCUCAUGUCAUUAAAAAGUCAAAGAACAGCAAGACUGGAGAUGAAGAGGUCAAUCAAGAGUUCAUCAAUAUGAAUGAAUGUGAUGCUCAUGCUUUUGAUGAUGAGUGGCAAAAUGAGAUUCUGAAGUACCAGCCAAGGGGACAAUGGCGCAAUGUAGAUAACUCUAGGAUGCGAAGUGUUGCUCAUGAGAAUUCAGGAUCCCGAGAACUUAAAAGAAGGCUAUAAGAGAGUGGAGGAUCGCUGCAGAAGGUGGAAGGCUGCCCAGAACCAGCAAGCAACAAGGAGAAACAUCAUCAAAGUCCAGCCAUUGAACAUAGAAGAAGAUCAAAUGUUUUUGUGGACAAACUCAACAUCAAAGGAUCACCUGUGAAAAUCAACAAAAAAUAAAUAGCAUUGCAUUUGAUUUCUUUAGUUUUGAUUAUUUUAACAGAGAAAGUAAUGGUGCUGGGUAAUACACAUAAGACCAAUCUUUUGUUAUUAAAUCAGUACUGUUCUUAGCAACUUUCUUCUGAAUGUUCUUAAAAGUGAUCGCUUUAUAUUGUCCCUACUUUAGGAAUAAAACUUGACUCUUCAACAGUGCAAGCUGUUCUCUAACACUCUUUAAAACAUAACACAUGCUGAUUUUGCUUUCAUAAUUAUUUUUAUAUUGGUUAUGUUUUCCCCUGUAUAUUCAAGAUUGAAUGUACAACUGUUCUAUCAUAUAAAAUUAGUUAAAAUAAGUAAACUGCUCAAAAAUAGUCCCAGUUUUUUAGCAACACUGUAAUAGAGUGAUGUUAAUAAAGGUGAAAAUUAUUUAGCUCAAAUUUUAUAAUGUGUUUAUGUAGCCAGCCAGCUUAAAGAAUUUUUGAAAAUAAAGCAAAAACUAUACUAGUACUCUUAUAAAAAGUUAGUUGUUUUUUUGAUAAAGGACAUAAAGAAUAAGCAAAUAGUUCAUUUUUGAAGAGAUUUUAAAUUGCUAAUAUACCUGAAUUUUCUUCUUAUCAUUUCUUUAUACAGUGUAUUCUUUUUUUGUUCUGUAUUACAUUUUUAACACUCAUCAGACUUUCCAUUGACGUUUCUCUUUAACAUCUUAAGGUAGCAUAUUUCUGUUCUCCUUUCUCACAGACAGCUUAAUUUAUCUCCAUGGUUAAGAUUCUAAAGUUGGAUUGUCCUUGGAGAAACUCUGCUCAGCCUCUUUGUGACAUUUAGAAAAAUGCAUUUGGUAUUCUGCAAACCUUAAUGAUUGAUUGUCUCAGAAUUUUUUAGACAGAUGAUGUGUGUGUUUGAGCAAGGUACUUAAUAAUUCAACUGUUCCCUUUUUAAUUAUACUAUUUAAAAAUUCAGCUCUUGAAUUUUUUGUUCUAGAAUUAUAGCAUUGAUCUGUUUAUAUAAAUUUAAGUAUAAAGCUUAUGAAAAUAUAAAAUCUUAACUCUUUAAGUUUUUGUUGUUUCAAAGGGAGAAAAAAAGAACAAAGUCAACUAACACUCUAUAAUCCUAAUAUCUUCCUUUUUAAACUUUGGAAUUAGAAUUGUGUAAUUGUGCUUAUACUCUUCUAAUUUUCUGUAUCAUACCCUGUUAAUAUUAGUAGUCGUGUUUCAUGCCUUUAGUCACUAAAAUAAAAUGCAAAUGUGUCAUCUCA